UACGUAGGGUGCGAGCGUUAAUCGGAAUUACUGGGCGUAAAGCGUGCGCAGGCGGUGAUGUAAGACCGAUGUGAAAUCCCCGGGCUUAACCUGGGAACUGCAUUGGUGACUGCAUUGCUGGAGUAUGGCAGAGGGGGGUGGAAUUCCACGUGUAGCAGUGAAAUGCGUAGAGAUGUGGAGGAACACCGAUGGCGAAGGCAGCUCCCUGGGCCAAUACUGACGCUCAUGCACGAAAGCGUGGGGAGCAAACAGGA
rnacentral:rRNA from 1 species